CCUUUAGGAAACACAACUGGAUGUGCUUCAUUGUGGCUCCUGGGAAGCAGGGAUAGAAAUGAAAUAAAUGUGUGGAUGUAUGUACUUGCAGCUUCACAGGCUGCCAUCGUGGCAUUGUAAAGAUACCUCAUUAUUCCAGGGAGCUUGUGGAAGUGUUUCUGUCUGUUUGUGUGCACAGUGAACAAUGCCAUGGACUAUUCACUGGAGUGAUAAAUUGUGCUUACUCCCAUGUCAGGAGAAUGUAAUUUCCCUAAUGACUGACUGAAUUCUGGAAAAGGAGGAUUUCUGGAAAGAACUGAGUUCCUGUGGGAAAUGAUGCUGUGAUGUCUCAUCCUAGCUGAAUUUAUAAAUUAUUCCAGCCACUGUAGUUGUUCACCGAGCACUUUGCUAAGAUAUUCAAACCAAAAAAGCUGUAUUGCAUCUUCAUUCCAAGACAUAAAAACCUCUAUAUCUAUUAACUGUGCUGUGCUGUGACACCAACAUUGACUGUCAAUAUAGAUUCCUGGAUGAUGCCUGCACAUUCAAAUACUCAUGGUAAU